UACAUGAGGGGCGAGCGUUAUCCGUAAUUAUUGGGCGUAAAGCAUGCGUAGACGGUAAAAGUAGUUGUAAUUUACUAUAACAGUUAAUUGGGUCUUUUACAAAACCUUUUUACUAGAGUUUUUUAAAAGUGUGUGGCAUUUGUAAAUUAGUGAUAAAAUACUGUGAGUUUGCAAGUACCUUCUAUAGUGAAAACACCACACUAUUCAAAACUGACGUUGAGGCAUUAAAGUAUGGUCAUCAUGUAGG
rnacentral:misc_RNA from 1 species